rnacentral:RNase_P_RNA from 1 species
UGAGACGACCAGACAAUCGCGCCUGCUUUGGCAGGUGAGGAAAGUCCGGGCUCCAUAGGGUAAGGUGCCAGGUAACACCUGGGAGGCGUGAGCCUACGGCCAGUGCAACAGAGAGUAUACCGCCGGUUUGUCUAGGCAAACCGGUAAGGGUGAAAGGGUGCGGUAAGAGCGCACCGCGCUUCUGGUAACAGAAGUGGCAUGGUAAACCCCACCUGGAGCAAGACCAAAUAGAGGAACAUCAUGUGCGACCCGUACUGUUCCUGGGUAGGUUGCUUGAGGCUGAUGGUGACAUCAGUCCCAGAUGAAUGAUUGUCCGCGACAGAACCCGGCUUAUGGUCGUCUCAACUU